CUUUCGGAGCUGUGCGGCAUUCUGAGCAGGAAUGGCAGUGUGGACCUCUGUGAUGGGACAUCUUGUGGGAUCUCACAGCCAGUUCUGUGGCAAAGGAGGAUGAAGGCUUACGAGGACUCGUCAGGAAGCUGGAUAACAGAGCGAGCGCAAUGGCUCCUGUGACAAGUGGACAUGCAGUGACUGCACCUUUGUUUCUGAGGUGCCUGGAUGGAGGCUCAAAUAGAAGAUGGUGUCAGAUAUAUUGUGUUAAAAUUUUACCAUUAAAGUGUAUUAUAACAUGAA
rnacentral:lncRNA from 1 species